rnacentral:rRNA from 1 species
AAUGAACGCUGGCGGCGUGCUUAACACAUGCAAGUCGAACGAGAAAGCCUUACUUUCGGGUGGGCGAGUAAAGUGGCGCACGGGUGAGUAACGCGUAGAUGAUCUACCCUUGAGUUCGGGACAACCUUGCGAAAGCGGGGCUAAUACCGGAUACGACCACGCCUAGGGUGUGGUGAAAGUUGGCCGCUCGAAGAAGCUAACGCUCGGGGAUGAGUCUGCGUCCUAUCAGCUAGUUGGUAGGGUAAUGGCCUACCAAGGCGACGACGGGUAGCUGGUCUGAGAGGAUGAUCAGCCACACUGGCACUGACACACGGGCCAGACUCCUACGGGAGGCUG